AAGGGUGGGGGAUGUCUGGGCAAAAUGGGUGAAGGGGAGUUAGAGAUACAGGCUUCUGGUUAUAGAAUGAAUGACUCAUAGGGAAAAAAAGGCACAGCAAAAGGAAUAUUGUC